CACGUAGGGUGCGAGCGUUGUCCGGAAUUAUUGGGCGUAAAGAGCUCGUAGGCGGUGUGUCGCGUCGGCCGUGAAAACCUGCAGCUUAACUGUGGGCUUGCGGUCGAUACGGGCAUCACUGGAGUUCGGCAGGGGAGACUGGAAUUCCUGGUGUAGCGGUGAAAUGCGCAGAUAUCAGGAGGAACACCGGUGGCGAAGGCGGGUCUCUGGGAAGUAACUGACGCUGAGAAGCGAAAGCGUGGGUAGCGAACAGG
rnacentral:rRNA from 1 species